UACGUAGGGUGCAAGCGUUAAUCGGAAUUACUGGGCGUAAAGCGUGCGCAGGCGGUUUUGUAAGUCUGACGUGAAAUCCCCGGGCUUAACCUGGGAAUGGCAUUUGUGACUGGAAGGCUAGAGUGUGUCAGAGGGGGGUAGAAUUCCACGUGUAGCAGUGAAAUGCGUAGAGAUGUGGAGGAACACCGAUGGCGAAGGCAGCCCCCUGGGUCAAGAUUGACGCUCAUGCACGAAAGCGUGGGGAGCAAACAGG
rnacentral:rRNA from 1 species